GUCCCUACGGGACGCAGCAGUGGGGAAUAUUGCGCAAUGGGCGAAAGCCUGACGCAGCGACGCCGCGUGAGGGAUGAAGGUCUUCGGAUCGUAAACCUCUGUCAGCAGGGAAGAACAGUCACUGUGCUAAUCAGCAGUGAAUUGACGGUACCUGGGGAGGAAGCUCCGGCUAACUACGUGCCAGCAGCCGCGGUAAUACGUAGGGAGCGAGCGUUGUCCGGAAUUACUGGGUGUAAAGGGAGCGUAGGCGGGGAUGCAAGUUGGGUGUCAAAACUACCGGCUCAACUGGGAGUCGCACUCAAAAA
rnacentral:rRNA from 1 species